rnacentral:tRNA from 1 species
UCGGUUUUUAGGGUAAGGUUCGAUGUUGGCAAGUUCUGAUUGCCGCCAGCGUCGAGCGAUGGAUGUCUGUUCUGUUCCGAAGAAUCUAAC